rnacentral:rRNA from 1 species
GGGCCCGCACAAGCGGUGGAGCAUGUGGUUCAAUUCGACGCAACGCGAAGAACCUUACCCAGGCUUGAACAGCGAGUGACCACCUACGAAAGUAGGCUUCCGCAAGGACACUCGUAGAGGUGCUGCAUGGCUGUCGUCAGCUCGUGUCGUGAGAUGUUGGGUUAAGUCCCGCAACGAGCGCAACCCUUGUCUGCUGUUGCCAUCACGUUAUGGUGGGCACUCUGCAGAGACUGCCGGUGAUAAACCGGAGGAAGGUGGGGAUGACGUCAAGUCAGCAUGGCCUUUAUGUCUGGGGCUACACACGUGCUACAAUGGCCGAUACAAACCGUCGCGAUACCGUAAGGUGGAGCUAAUCGGAGAAAGUCGGUCUCAGUUCGGAUUGUAGGCUGCAACUCGCCUGCAUGAAGUUGGAAUCGCUAGUAAUCGCGGAUCAGCACGCCGCGGUGAAUACGUUCCCGGGCCUU